rnacentral:rRNA from 1 species
UACGUAGGGUGCGAGCGUUAAUCGGAAUUACUGGGCGUAAAGCGUGCGCAGGCGGUUAUGUAAGACAGAGGUGAAAUCCCCGGGCUCAACCUGGGAACGGCCUUUGUGACUGCAUGGCUAGAGUGCGGCAGAGGGGGAUGGAAUUCCGCGUGUAGCAGUGAAAUGCGUAGAUAUGCGGAGGAACACCGAUGGCGAAGGCAAUCCCCUGGGCCUGCACUGACGCUAAUGCACGAAAGCGUGGGGAGCAAACAGG